rnacentral:misc_RNA from 2 species
AACGCACAUUGCGCCCCUUGGUAUUCCAUGGGGCAUGCCUGUUCGAGCGUCAUCUACACCCUCAAGCACUGCUUGGUGAUGGGCGUCUGUCCCGCCUUCGCGCGCGGACUCGCCCCAAAGGCAUUGGCAGCGGUCCCGAUCGCCCUCUCGCGCAGCACAUUUGCGCUUCUCGAGGCGGCGGGUUCGCGUCCACGAAGCCCUUUUUACCACGUUUGACCUCGGAUCAGGUAGGGAUACCCGCUGAACUUAA